CCUACGGGUGGCUGCAGUAAGGAAUAUUGGGCAAUGGAGGCAACUCUGACCCAGCCAUGCCGCGUGAAGGAUGACGGCCCUAUGGGUUGUAAACUUCUUUUAUACGGGAAUAAACCCGGGUACGUGUACCCGGCUGAAUGUACCGUAAGAAUAAGGAUCGGCUAACUCCGUGCCAGCAGCCGCGGUAAUACGGAGGAUCCAAGAUUCAUCGGGAUUCAUUGGUUCGAAAGGGGAUGUAGACGGAUUUGGAUAAAUCCUACAGCUUAACUGUAGAACUGCCGUUGAUACUGCAAGUCUUGAGUACAUUUGAUGUGGGCGGAAUGUGUCAUGUAGCGGUGAAAUGCUUAGAUAUGACACGGAACACCAAUUGCGAAGGCAGCUCACAAAACUGUAACUGACGCUGAGGCACGACAGCGUGGGGAUCAAACAGGAUUAGAUACCCCUGUAGUC
rnacentral:rRNA from 1 species